rnacentral:lncRNA from 1 species
UACACGAGCUUACUCGUUAAAGUAUCGAGCCGAAAAAUUCAGCUCGUAUUCAGCUCGUUUAUUAACGAACCGAACACGAGCUGGCUCACGAGCUAGCCGAUGAACGAUAAAUUAAAAAGAAUUAAAUUAAAUACAUAUAUAAAAAAAUUUAUAAAAUCUUAUCCAUUAGACUUUAAUCUAAUAGUUAAAACUUUAUAUAUAAAUGAGUCUUUUCAUAAUUAAGCUCGCAUUUAUAUUUUUAUUUUACUAAAAAUUAAAUAAUAAAAAUAUAUAUUAUAUAUAAUUAUUUAUUUAUAUAUAAAAAUAUAAAUUAAAUAAAUUGUAUAAAUAUAAAAUAUAUGUAUUCGAGCUGUUAUCGAGCCAAACACGAGCGAGCUGACCCCAGCUCGUGUUCGGCUCAUUUACUAAACGAGCGAGUCGAUCUCGAGCUCAUUUCGAGCCGAACAUGAGCUGGCUCGCAAACAGCGAGCUAGAUUGCCACCCCUACUCUCAUCUAUUGAUUACUAUAUUGAUGAUAUGAAUCUUGUAAAGCUUCUGAUAU